rnacentral:rRNA from 1 species
UACGUAGGGACCAAGCGUUGUUCGGAUUUACUGGGCGUAAAGGGCGCGUAGGCGGCGCGACAAGUCACUUGUGAAAUCUCUGGGCUUAACUCAGAACGGCCAAGUGAAACUGUUGUGCUAGAGUGCAGAAGGGGCAAUCGGAAUUCUCGGUGUAGCGGUGAAAUGCGUAGAUAUCGAGAGGAACACCAGAGGUGAAGACGGGUUGCUGGGCUGACACUGACGCUGAUGCGCGAAAGCGUGGGGAGCAAACAGG